rnacentral:lncRNA from 12 species
CCUAUGUUGAAAUGUCAUGAGUAAAAUGAAACAAGCAUAAUUUUUCUCCCCUGGGGUUCAAGAGUUUAUUCCUUCUGAUACAACAAUAAAUCAACUGACAAAAUGGAAUUUCUUUGCAAUACAUAUGCAACAAGUUAGGUUGCAUGGACAAGUUGAGCUUCAGUUUAAAUAUAGAAACUGUGGAACAUUUUAUUAUAAAGGAAUAGUGCUUGGAAGCUCCUUAAAGAAGUAACUACCAAAGUAACUCUGAGAAGAAGAUAAUGUGAUUAACACUAGAAAACCUUAAAAAGCGAUCUCAACAGCUUUGGAAACAUCUGCUUGCCAAGUCAAACAGCGAUAUAUGUUGGAAGCCAGUACAGUUCUUAAUGCAUAUUUUCUGAUGAUGACACUGAGGAAGAGGAGGAAGAUGAUAUUCGGUUAAAUGUGGCCAAAUAUUUUCGAAUGAAAGAUACUGGCUUCAGCUUGUGCUUCCCUUAUAUCAGGUUAUGUCCCUUCCCCGGCUGUAUGUCACGGUGCCUACUACCAGGACCGACUGCAGUGUGCAAGGCGAAGUUGCAAUUUGAAAUAAAGACAUUGUCUCCAGGUCCCAUCUCCACACUGCAGGCUGGAUUGGGGGAAAUGUGCGCGCUGCUUCCCUUUGCUGCAAAAGACGCUCAGGGUUUCCCUGUUGUGCAUAAUGGCACAUUUGGGGUCAGUCCCCUCCAGCGUCUCUCCAUUAGAGUGACUGCAACUGGAUGACCUGUGGCUAGCUGUCCUGAGUCCCGCGGCCUCCCAGUGAAGCCCAGUGUCUUCGGAGGGACGUCACCUAUGGCUUGCAACGGGACUGCCCCCCUCAAAGUCUAGUUGUAACCGUUUAAAUGCUAACAGUAUUAAGCAUGCUGCCAAAACACAAACACUCAGCCUAUGUCAUUAAAAUUUAAUUAUACGGGGGCAGCUGAGCCCAGUCUGAGUUUUGAAUCUGAAAAAUCUUGUUAAAAAAAAUAAAUAAAAAUGAAAGUACCA